rnacentral:rRNA from 1 species
UUAAUCGAGAGUUUGAUCCUGGCUCAGGACGAACGCUGGCGGCGUGCCUAAUACAUGCAAGUCGAACGCACUCUCGUUAGAUUGAAGAAGCUUGCUUCUGAUUGAUAACAUUUGAGUGAGUGGCGGACGGGUGAGUAACACGUGGGUAACCUGCCCUAAAGUGGGGGAUAACAUUUGGAAACAGAUGCUAAUACCGCAUAAAACCUAGCACCGCAUGGUGCAAGGUUGAAAGAUGGUUUCGGCUAUCACUUUAGGAUGGACCCGCGGUGCAUUAGUUAGUUGGUGAGGUAAAGGCUCACCAAGACCGUGAUGCAUAGCCGACCUGAGAGGGUAAUCGGCCACACUGGGACUGAGACACGGCCCAGACUCCUACGGGAGGCAGCAGUAGGGAAUCUUCCACAAUGGACGAAAGUCUGAUGGAGCAACGCCGCGUGAGUGAAGAAGGUUUUCGGAUCGUAAAACUCUGUUGUUGGAGAAGAACGUAUUUGAUAGUAACUGAUCAGGUAGUGACGGUAUCCAACCAGAAAGCCACGGCUAACUACGUGCCAGCAGCCGCGGUAAUACGUAGGUGGCAAGCGUUGUCCGGAUUUAUUGGGCGUAAAGCGAGCGCAGGCGGUUUCUUAAGUCUGAUGUGAAAGCCUUCGGCUCAACCGAAGAAGUGCAUCGGAAACUGGGAAACUUGAGUGCAGAAGAGGACAGUGGAACUCCAUGUGUAGCGGUGAAAUGCGUAGAUAUAUGGAAGAACACCAGUGGCGAAGGCGGCUGUCUGGUCUGUAACUGACGCUGAGGCUCGAAAG